rnacentral:rRNA from 1 species
UGAUUUUCAUAGCCGCAUAUUAGUGCUAAGGUAGCAUAAUCAUUUGUCUUCUAAAUAAAGACUAGAACAAAAGAUUUAACAUUUUAUUUAUUUUAUUAAUUUUUAAAUCCUAAAUUUUCCUAAUUGUAAUAAGACAAUUUUUUCUAAAAAAGACGAUAAGACCCUAUUGAACUUAACUUAAGUUAAACUGGGGCAGUUAAUCAAUUAAUAUUUUAAUUUGUUUUUUUUUAAAAAUAUCUAAUUAUAUUUAACUAAUCAAGUUACCAUAGGGAUAACAGCGCAAUAAUAUUUCAAAGUUCUUAUAUAAAAAAUAGAUUACGACCYCGAUGUUGAAUUAAUUACCUAAUUAAAGCAAGAUUUAAUUAUUUUAAAGGAAGUCUGUUCGACUUGUAAAAAAUUACAUGAUUUGAGUUCAGACCGGUGUAAACCAGGUCGGCUUCUAUCUUUUUAACAAUUUUUACAGUACGAAAGGACCUAAAAAUAUAAUAAUAUUUAAAUAUUAGCAAAUAAAUGCAUUAGAGUUAGAAUCUAAUCAAACUU